GUGGGGAGGGGUCCAUCAGCAGCCUGCCUGGGGGUUCCCGCGGUAUGUGGGCAUCCGUGACGUGGAUCUGCCUCCCGGCUUCAUGGAUCUACCUCCCGGCUAGGCUGCUAGGCCAGGCCGUGGACAGUCAUUGGCCCAACAGCUGGCAGAGCUGUGGCAUGGGCCAUCUGUGCCACAGCUGGCCGGCGGGGCCAACACCGUGCUGGGGCUGGGAGGCUCGGCAGGGAGUAGUGCCUUCCAGGGUCGGGCACAGGGUUCUUGUGGAGACUGAGGCCCAGAGAGGUCGAGCACCAUGCCCCAGGUCACACAGCCAGUGAGCAGCAGAGCCUGAACUCACACCCGGGUCUGCGAAUCUGUGUAUCUGUGUUCUCCCCACUGCCCGCCCACCCCGGCCCCGGGCGUGCUGGGUGUGAAACCGCUGUUCCCACAGGGGCUGGACCUGGUAGAGGCUCCUUCCACACAGGCCCUAGAUGCCUCCAGAAUGACCUCUGGGGGCUGGGGCCGAGAUUAGCCCAGAAGAUACGGCACCUCCCUAGCAACCUUCGGGCCUCAGUGUCCCCUGACAGCAUGGCUCCCCUCCCUGCCGCCUGCAUUCCCGCUCGCUCCUGGGGCCGGCACACGGUGGAUGCCGGGGAGCACCCACUGGGCUCAGAGGGUCUGUCCCCACCCUGAGGCUGGUCAGGCCCCUUCCUGUGGGCCUGAGACACCAACACUGUGUUGGAUAGGCCCUGGCUCCCCUGGCCUCACUGUCACCUUGGAAAGCAGGCAGUAUGCUCCUCUCCACCUCAUGGGUGAGGAAACUGAGACCCAGGAAAGGGAGGAACAGAGCUCCUGCCAGAGCCUUGGGCCAUGCCAUGCUGUCGGCGGUGGCUCAGGCUAAGUCUGGAAGGAAAACACUCUGGGCUCGGCCCUCGGGGCGGCUGUCGGCGGAGCCCGUGGAGGCCGCCUCGUUUCCUGCAUCCAUUGCGCCCCAGCCCCCAGCCGAAUGGCAGAGGAAAUGCGAGGGGCCCCAUCCCAGUGCAGCUGGGGGCUGGAACAGGGCGAGGUGGGGCGGGCAGUCCAUGGCCUUGCUCUGUGGUGCCCAACACUGGUCAGACUUCAAGGGGAGAAAGUGGUGGUGGGGGAAGGGGUGACUGCCACUGCCCCUCAGGCCUUGGUCCCUCCUGCAAGGCUGACCCAGCCUCAGCGCCCUGACCCUCAGCCCUGUGCUGCUCACUGCACUGGUGGUCCCCAAGCUCAGCCACCUGGGUGUCCAAUCCAGAGGCACAGCACACACGCGUGCUCCAGCACUUCCUGUAAACACACUUUUUGUUCUAUACAAAUGGAUGCCUUCUAAUCAGAAACUUUCUGCAUCAUGACCUUUGCCUGAAAAGCCAGUGUCACCUACAAUUGCUGCCGUUGGCACGGGACAGGUUCCCAGCAUGGGAUGCAUAUUAGCUCCAGCCCUGGCUGUUGCUUUUGGGUUGACCUGGCAGGACAAAGUGGGCAGGGGGUGCCUCCAGGCCCCAGGGGAUGCCGUCCACAGGGCACAUCUGGGGCAGCACAUGCUGAGUGUCCACUGCAGUGAGUGGCUCCCCCAAAGAAGGUGCUUUGCACAGGCUGGCAUCGGGUGGGUGUCCCCCUUUUAAAGGACACCCCAGUGAUUCCCAGGGCCGCAUAGCAGGGCUCAGGAGCUGCACGCCAGCUGUGGGGCUCUGCCGGCUCCGAUGGGGGCUUCCGCUGGGGCAGGCUGGGGGGUAAACCCCAGGGGCAAUGGGCAGGCACAUUCCUGGCACAAAGGUGGGUGACCAGCGGCUACUGUGUCCCGGCUGCACCCAAGCCAGGCGGGCAGCGCUCAGCGAGGCUGCUGGGGCCUGGCCCUCCCCACCCUGGCCUUCCCGAGCCUCUAAUGAAUAUUAAUGAGCAGAGGAGGGUGAAAAAAAUUAAUCUGCUUGAUCCUCCGAUGGGUGCUGCGGUAACGAUAUGAAAUCUAAUUAUUCGUCCCAAUAUUUCUAAACCCUCAAACUGAGACUGACAGCCUCCCGGUCGGUUUAAUGCUUAUCACUCCCAGGAGCAGCGUGUUCGCAGCAUGAUAAAAACACGCGCCGCAACUUUGCUGACGCUGCACAACCCCCCGAUUUUUCUGUGGCAGUCCCGAGUGGAGGGAAGGCGCCAUGUUCCCGCCUGGCCCUGCCGAGUGCACCCCGCAUUUGUGGGGCACGAUGGGGCGCCUGCCCUGGGUGUGCAGGCCCUUCUGCCAAGACUCUCAGAGAUGUGGGCGCUGCGGCCAUCUUUCCUCCCAGGGUGCCACAGGCUCAGUACCCAGCCUGGUCAGGGAGGCCUUGCACACCAGCUGUUGCCAGGUGUGGGGAACACAGCAAACAGAGCUGCGUCUCCCGUGGGUGCUGGAGUGUGGAGCCGGCCAGAAACAGCAGAGACACAGAAAAGGAGAGAAAAGACCAUGAGAAGAUGGAGAUGGAGAUGGGAGGCAGCCAUGAGAGUCGCCUGAAGCCCCCAGAAGCUGUGAGUGGCAGGAGGGAGACUCUGGAAGGAGCCUGGUGCUGCUGAUACUUGGACUUGGGACUCGGAGCCUCCAGGCUGUGCCUCCAGGCUGUGCGAGGACACACUCUGCUGCCUGAAGCCCCAGGUCAUGCUAACUUAGCACCCAGCCCAGGACACACACACACCUGGCCCUCACCUGCCUCCUGGAGCCUCAGCCUCCUCGGUGGACAACAGGGACGUGGCUCCUCCCAGGCCACACACCCUCUGCCCAGGAAGGCCGGGCCACCUCUACCUCUCCUGUGGCCAGGGCUGCCUGGGCCCAUGGAGGCCUCACGUGGCCUGGCCUGGUCCCCUGGCCGCAGUGCUGUGGCGGCCCCACUUCCUGGAGCCCCGAUUGGGCAGGCUGUGGCCUUAAUGGACCUGAUGAUCAGAUAGCUGCUUGCCUAAUGGCAGAGAUAACAUGUAAAUACGCCGGGAGGCCGUACUAAAACGUUUUAACUGGG